rnacentral:snRNA from 1 species
UGAUGUGAGGGGGAUCUGGCUGCGACAUCUGUCACCCCAUUGAUUGCCAGGGUUGAUUUGGCUGAUCUGGCUGGCUAGGCAGGUGUCACCAUCCUCCCUCACUGCUCGGUGUGCUUCCCUCCCGAAGCUGUGCCACUCACUCAGUGGAAGAGUACAGUCUUCCCCGAGUAGAGAUGAACUGGUCUUCAGUUGAGGGUAUAGGAGUGGCUGUGCUCCCUGCUAGAACCUUCAAACAAGCUCUCAAGAAAAAAAUACCUGUGGUACUACUCUACCACUCAUGAAGCUUCCCUUCUGAGGAUGGGAAGAGGGGCUUGAACCCAGAUCCCUGUGCAUGGUAACAG